rnacentral:lncRNA from 1 species
CCCCUCUUUAAACUUUCAAAGAAUUGGAAGCAAAUUCACUGUCAGCCUCAUCAAUAUGGUGUUUAUCUUGAUGGGCUAGUUGAGGGCUGUGUUGAGACAAAGCAUUUAAGGGAGAAACUUCUUUCGAUGGUUGCUUUUCUCUCUUUUGAAGCUGUUAAACAGCUGCUGUCAGGACUUGGACUUGCUAAACAAGAAGGCUGAAUUGUUAAGGAUUAACAACAAUCGGCUAUUGUGGUGGCGCCUUUGGUACUUCUUUUUUUGGAGCAGAGGGAGAGGGAUGCUGAGCUCGUGUCUUGACCAUCUUUCCCACAAAAGAAAUCAGGACCCCUUUUUUUAGCCCCAAUCUAUUGCUUCAGGGCUCGAAAUCUAGAGUAAAGUAAAUCGACUUGAGUGAGAUUGGGCUGGAGCAAUCCUUACGAUCUAACAAAAACUCAUCCAAUCUAUAAAAACCAAUCAAAAAACUGGAUAGAAAUCUUUCGGUUCUUAACCUUCUGAUACUUAAGUCAGUUCGAAUCUUGAGAACAGAGGUGGAAAAGAGUG